AAUGUAUCACGCGGAAGGACAUUGCACCGUGACUUCUAUUUCACAUGUACGCUUAAAUCCUAUCAAACCUCCAGCUGUGGCCUUCCCCAACCUCCAGGACUCUAGGUGUACAAUAUGGUGAUUCACCGCUCCCAUGCCCCACCCAGCGCUCAUCACAAGUGUCCUCAUCAUCGACUUCAGCCAUCAUCGACGUCAGCCAUCCCUCCUACCCGGCUCCCUGCUGGUGACCAUCUGUAUGUUCUCUAGAGUGAAGAGUCUGUGUCUUGAUUUGACCCUUUCUCUCUUUUUCCCCCCUUAGCUGGUUAGUUUUACUUCUUAAAUUCCACAUAUGAGUGAAAUAUCAUAUAGUAUUUAUUUUUC